GCUGUGAGAGGAGACAAGUUUGGAGCAACACUAACAAAGCUAAUCUUGUUUGGUAGGAUGAGGUCAACUGUGAGUUGCUGCUGAAAGAAGAAUUCUCCAGAAAAUCCAUUGUAGGAUGAUGUUUUACUACUUUCUUCAUUCCUUCUUCCCUUCAGUCUCUCUGCUCCUCUCAAGCAAAGCCAAGUUAAGAUGUCCCAAGCAGCUGUAGGCUGGAAACACCAGUUUUCACAUGUGAAAUCUCAGAAACACAGAGUCCCAGAUCAGAAAAGAUCAGCAAUAUAGAUGAGAUCAGCAACAUGUCAUUAAGGUUAGUACUCACUUCCAUUCUUCUAAGGCAAAGAGAAACAUUCUGAAAGUUACACUCACACAAACAUUUAGCUAAAAUCACAACUGACUUCAAAAAGCAAAAGUUCAGUCUUAAAAAAAUUAUGUCUUAAAACAAUCAUCAGACUGGAUCUCAAGAAACUGUGCUAGCCUUUUAGAAAUAGAGUGUCAUUUUAACUCAUUUACCAUUAAAAAAUGCAAACAAAAGAUGAAUAUUUAGAAGAGAGAAAAUACUCAUGCUUAUAUAGCUGAAGGCAAAGAGUAAUUGCAGACAGACCAGAAUCACUGCAGCUGACCAAAGGCAACUCUGAGUAAACUUCAAAACAGGUUCUGUGGCUAAAAGUGUCACACUAAAGGCUUCAGUGCCUCAGGAUUCUCACUGUAUUUUCCAGGAAGCUUUGGGAAAGCAGGAGGCUGAUUUAAACAAGCUGCAGAGGUUUUGUCCAUAUUAUUAAAGCUGUCACUUCUCUUGUAGAAUUAGUCAGAGAAAAAGUGCAGUAAGUCCUAAAUGGAAGGGAACUGAGGCUGGUACCUUAAAAUAAGUGGUUAUAAGAUAAGGCAAAGGCAAGGAACUGAGCAAAAAUUCUUGCAGAUUAAAUUAAACUCUGGAAGACAGGAUGUUUGUCUAAAGCCUUGGCAGUGAAAGAUGGUUGUUCUUGGCUCUAAUCACAAUCACUGUUUAAGUCCCUCUGCUAUACAGUUACCAAUAAAGAAUGCAUUUGAUUUCUCUGGAACUGACAGAGUGCAGAAACAUUAAUGCAAAAAAUAAUGUAUAUAUUAACUAGAUGGGAAUAUAAGUAUUAACCCUUUCCUGAACAUGGCUAUACUGGUCUACCUAGUUCUAUGUAGAUCACAUGAACUGGACUGGCUGUUGCAUUAAGGGCAACCCCCUUUAUGGAUUUGAACAAACUAUCUCUCUUCCUGCAACAUAAUUUUGCUAUCUGUAAAACAGGAGUGACUCUUUUGUAGUGCUCUAUAAAGGACAAAUAAAUGGUUUCUAAGAAUAGAUUGUUUUUAUUAAUGCUUGAAAUCUACUAUGUGAUCUUGGAAUGGGUAUGAUGAGAAGGUGGUUCUGGUAGCAUUGCAUGAAGCCCAUGGUCCAAGCAUUGUCUCUCUAAGGUCUGAAACACUGCCAUUUGGAAAUCUCUUAAGCAUGGGCUUAAUCCCAAAUUAAGGCAACUAUACUGUAGACAGAAUAUGAAGGAUUUUUUUUUAAACAAUGUAAAUAUGUGCUACAGCAUCUGGUGAACUAGGAAUAAAUACUUUUACUGGUAUGGAACCAAGGCUGACAAACUACUAUCUGGCAGUACAUCCUUUAUACACAUAUGUCAUGUACUUCUGGGCAAACUGAAAAAUGUACAAUACACUGCAAAUAUUUAUAGCACACCCACUGCCCCAGGAUCUGAUCAUUCUUUCCAAGACUUAAUCAGGCCAAAAGUUUAGUGACUUAUGUUCAAUUAAAUAACAUAACUUAAGACUAUGCAGCCUCUUUUCCACAACUUGAACAUGCCUAUGCAGCCUCUUUUCCACAACUUGAACAUGCCUCUGACUGUUAAUCCAAAAUUAACAUUGGAUUCAGUAUCAUGAGCGAAUUUUCAUCAUCAAAAGUUCUGGCCUUUUGAACUUAAUGCUCCAUGUAAUUUUUUAAUAAAGAGAUGUUUAACUUUACAGAAAAAUCUGUUACAUUUAACCAUGCCAAAAGAAACUUCCUUCACCUGCAUAAACCCUCACAGUGGACAUUUUAGAAUGGUACAAAGUCAGCAGCCCUUAUUAUCCAUUUAAAAAAUAAAUAUACUUGAAGAAAAUAAACAGAAUGGAAAUAAAAUCAUGUUUGUAAGAUAAGCUUUACAUCAUCCAAAUUAGGCAGUAUGUGGGUAAACCCCAUACCAUAUGUAUUUUUCCUGCCACACUGAACACAAGUGAUUUCCACAAGUGGAAACCUGAAGUGUAUAUAUCAAUAAAAGAUGUUCCAGGAGGAAAGAAUCCAAUUUUCAUAAGAGAAAGGUAAAGGCAAACCAACUUGUAAAGAAAGGUAAGGUCAAAAGGGAUCCAAGCAUAUUUGUGGUUUAGUUUUCAAGUCUUUAGGUAAUAUUGUGCAAGCAAAAAGGAUUCAUUUUCCUAGAGCCUCUAAUGUAGUACCUGGAAUGUUUUGAACACAAAUUAGAAUUGUGCUACACAGAAAAUAAUAACAGGCAGAAAACUUGCUAAAUUUCUUUUUUCUAGUAGUUUAAAGUAUCUAUUUUCACAGAUAUUUUAAAAUAUUUUAGCCUAAAACAUGUUUAGGGCCUCUACAGCUCCCUAUCCAUUAGUCAGCUAACCAUCACUAAAAAGGAGCUUUUCCAGUCUUGUUUCUAUUGUGAAGAAUGAGUGGAAAAAGCUGUUACAUCAUCAGAGACAUAAUAUACACAUCUGGUGAAUCACUUGAUGAGCACACAGAAUGCCAGAAAGCUCCCACUUUGACAUGAGUGUAAUUAUGCCAGAAACAGCCCCUUUUGGUAACAGCAUUAAAGCACUUGUGAUGCAGCUGAGCAGUGGCAAGGUUUCUUCCACGGUGCAGAGUUUUCAUAUGGAAAACUGGAGUACCUACACACACAGAGUUAUAUUUGACUUGGAAAAAAUGCUGAAUGAAAUGUAAAUCAAAAAUAUAAAAAGCAAAACUUGCCUUCUCCCCCAAAAACCUGAACAACACCAAGUACCCAACACCCUUGAAUAACUGGAGUUUGAUUUUUCUAUUUAUUUGUGUGGUUAACAUGUACUUUAAGGAUAUUGAAUGGUCACAAAGUAUACCUCAUACAAAAAUACUGACAUAUCAUAAAGUAAGCACUCCUGGUUUUGUUUGUGCAGCAGAAUUUGAAAUGGAAUUCUCAUCUGUCACCUGGGAAUUUUAAGCUCUUACAGGCAAUUUCAGUCUUAUUUUGCUUAAGGAGCAAAACAAACCUUUGCAUGACCACCAGUGCAACACAAGUCACAAAUACCUGCAGGCAGAAAACCCCAAAAUUUUCAAUAGGCUUAUUGCUUUUGAAGACCAAACUAAAAUAUAUUACUUAUUUUUUAUUUUAAUGGUGUGUCAGCAUGACUACAAACUUCAUUGUGCCUCUCUCAGGGGUAAAACUUUAAAAGGAAGACAUUUAAGCAAAAGCUGAAACCCCUAGAAACUCCAGCAUAAAAUUUUAAAGCUAUCUUGAACAGAAGAUUCUUCUACUGCAAUGAAAUGCACUAAUUUGAGAAAAAACAGGGUUUUUUACUGCUUUUCUAUUUUUAAGAUGUUUUUUAAAAGUGGCACUUUUUUAUAGCUCAGUAAAUGAGGGCAAUUUGUAACAGAGUUGUGGCUCACGUGACUAAACAGUUUUUGCAUUUGGCAUCAUAAAGUGACACAGAAACGUGUUGUUCCAUUAACAUGACCAACCACAAUGCAUUUAAUGUAAGUAACAUUAAUAUGGAAAUGCUGGUUUCAGAAAUCCUGACAAUUAUGGGCAGAUAACUCUCUUUGUUAACCACGAUGCAAUCACAUAAGGAAGAAAACUUUGACAGUGUAAACUACCUGCCCCUAAACCAAGCCCACUCCCAAACCCAAGAGAUUACAAAAUAUGUAGGGAUGAUAAAUGCCACACUCCUGGGCUGAAUACCUUUAGUUUGAUAAGGACUGAUGAAAAACAAAAAGGCACUCAUGAUCUGAAUAUUAUGAAAUCAUGAUCUGAUAUUUAGUUUGAGAAGGUUGCUAUAUUUAUGUACUCCUCCCUUCAUUAGGAAUCAAGUAAUGAACACGCAGGGGAAAGGGACAGAUAAAAAAAUAUGGAAUUCAAUUACUGUUUCAAAACUUUUCUAACUUUUGAGGCUUCUGAUGUAUUAAAGUUAGCUAAAUGAUAAAAUAUUCAAUUUUUUGAAUAACUGGGGAAAUGACAGACUAUUUGUACACAAGGAACUUUGAGGCAUUUUGUUUUUAAUUUGCAUACAAUUCUCCGAGUGAAUUCCACAUGAAGAAGGGUGAGAUACAACAGAGCUCAUUCAUCAUUUCACAGGUUAACAGAACAAAGUGAACAUCUGUCCUUCUUGUUAAUUAGCAUCUACCCCUUAACUCCAACUUGUCACUUCCUGCUGCAAGUUCCCAUGCCAAAGAAAUGGAUGGACUAGUUCCAAACUUCACAGAUGUUCACACGUGAACUUCAGCGAUACUGCAAAUUGUAACAGCAAGAAAAAAGUUGAAAGACUUUGGAUGACCUUAUAUUCUCUUUGUGGUUCAAUGAAGACCCAAAAUUCAGAGUAAAAAAAUACUUCAGUUGUCCAGCUCAGCUAUUCACCUGACUGUGGUUCCUCUAUAGAACACACAGUUAAGGAAAAAAUACUUUCUGUCAUGUAAGAGGGGGCACUAAAUCAGAAACAGAGAAGUCUCAAAAUAGCUGUGCUAAAACGAAUUUCCCAAACACUUUUCUCUGGAGCACAAUUUGAACAUGCUCUUACCUUCUACAUACUGAUAAAGUUUUCUAGCUAUAUAAUUUCCAUACAUAGUUGCAUUUGACAAGGUUUUUUUUGGCUUAUAUCAAACUGGCAAAUACCAUCCUGACCAAAGUAUAUUACAUCAGUAUUAUACCUACAAUAAAACAGUGGCAUGGUGUUAAAGACAGCAUCAUCUUCAUGCUUUAAUGAGAUCAAAUAACAGUUAAAGGUAGGCUGAAAGGGAAGCAGUAACAAAUCUGUCUUGCAGAUCUUUCUGAAAAAGAGAUCAGGAAGUGAGGCCGUCCAGGUAAGUCUUGAAAGGCGUAAGCUGCAAAGGACUUGAACCUACCAAUAGCAGCAGAAAAUCCCCAUCACUAGAGCAGUCUUUAGGUGUUACAGCAAUAAAUACCAGUUUAGCCUUUUGUCCAAAGACUUACAGGAAGCCUUCUUCUCAAUGUAGGAUUCCAGACAUUGACACUGUUCAACAGUGAGUUGAACAAAAAAUCAAAUUGACUGUGUUGAAGUAGAAAAUCAAAGAACUCGGAAUUGCACAUCUCUGAUAGUCCAGGGUUUGCAUUUGCACACAAGCCUACACACCACAGCACAUCUGUCAAUGCCAGUGAUUCCAUUUGGGAUAUACCAGUUUUUUCCUCUCAUGAUUGUGGAUUCUCCAGCAACUCUACUGAAUCUGAAGUAUGUCAGUAUCAGAGAAGAGAUAACAAAAACCUUCUUACACUUCAAUAUUUAUUAAUUCUCUAGCAAUUUUUUUGCUAUAUACUUAGUAUUUAUUUAUGUGACAAAAUUCCUGAUAAUUCUGUCUCAUGCAGGUAACUUAAAUGAAGAGUUAACACUGUCUAAACUGAUGAACCUAGCACUAGGGGGUUACUGGGGAGGCUACAAGACAAGUAUUUUCUGCAGCAACAACUAGGUGGGUAUGCACAGAACACAAGAGGCUCAGCUGAAGGUACCUGGCAGGAUCUAAGGACAGCACAGCCUUCAGAAGGACUGGAGGGGCAACAUCCUCUGACCUAAACAGACUUACCAUUAUUGUUUAGGAGAGCUUGAGUGGAGCUGAAGACAUGUUGGAAACUAAUGUUAGGAGAGAUGGUGUUUCUGGAGUUAGGCAAAUAGUUUUAGCUUUUUCUACUUAAAGUUGCUGUGAUUUGUAUUCUCUUGACAUAGUAAAAUAUGUUACUCUACCCAAAUUGCUAUUGUUUAGGUCACAACAGAGAUACUGAGAGCAUACUGUACCUUUCUGCAGCUGAAGACAAAGAUUGCUGAUAGAUUGCUGCUAUUUCUUCUCUGCAAUUCCUUGGUGAAUACUUUUUCAUCAAUAGCAACUAUGAAAAAAAACUCUCUAGAGUCCAAAUUUUUAAAAAAUAUAUUACAGGAAAAAUUGUAAAUCUACUUGUAAAUCAUUCGUUUCUCCUACAAUUUCCACAGGUUUCAAAACAUAGUAAUUAUAAAUGUAAUUAUUAAAAUAAUAACAAGAGUUGUGAUAGUCUUUUGUUGUACUGGGCAUUUUCCUUUUUUAACUGAGAUACAUUCUAAUGGAAAUACCACAGUACGAACCAGAUAAUUUCAAUUAAAAAACAAAAUGCAAACUAUUCAGUCCAAUGUUAGAGCAUGUGUAUGUGUGUAUAAUACUGUAAAAGUAGUCACACAUUAGAGGUAUAUAAUUGAAACAGCAUUUUCUUUCAUGAACCUGCUAUUAUUGAGGCAGUGACAAGGUUUCAAUUUCUUUGUUUUUUGAGCUCUUUAAAGAAGGGCUAUUGCCACAUUUUGUAAUCCUAAAUACUGUACAAGCAGAAGCUUGUUGGUAUCAGGUAAGGAAUAAUACUAGUAGUGCAAACAGCUGCAGAGACAAUUCCUCCAGUUUUGGGGUGAACCAGCUAUAUAACACUGAAAGAGGAUAGGCUUCUUCUUCAAAUCCACACUUGUGAGUGUUUCUCCACUCAGCCAUACAUCCUUCUCCAUCUUGGUCUUCUUUUUACAAGGGUACUUGGGGGAGAACCACCAGCUCAUGUGAUAUUUAUCAUAUGAAAGAUUCCUCGACCUUUUUCCUACUUAAUAUUAUGUUUUAGAACAAGUCAAGGAACGAUAAAUACCUCAAGCAUCAGGAAAGUGACAAUAAUACUGACUUAGUAUCUUUAGUAAAAA